rnacentral:rRNA from 1 species
UACGGGGGGGGCAAGCGUUGUUCGGAAUUACUGGGCGUAAAGGGCUCGUAGGCGGCCAACUAAGUCAGACAUGAAAUCCCUCGGCUUAACCGGGGAACUGCGUCUGAUACUGGAUGGCUUGAGGUUGGGAGAGGGAUGCGGAAUUCCAGGUGUAGCGGUGAAAUGCGUAGAUAUCUGGAGGAACACCGGUGGCGAAGGCGGCAUCCUGGACCAAUUCUGACGCUGAGGAGCGAAAGCCAGGGGAGCAAACGGG